GCCUUCGUGGUGUAGUAGUCAGCACGAUCGACGCGUAUUCGUGAGAUCCGUGGUUCGAGUCUCGGCGAGGGCA
rnacentral:tRNA from 1 species